rnacentral:tRNA from 1 species
GGGUCGUUAGCUCAGUUGGUAGAGCAGUUGACUUUUAAUCAAUUGGUCGCAGGUUCGAAUCCUGCACCUGACUCU